rnacentral:rRNA from 1 species
CCGCUAUUGGAGUUCGAUUAAGCCAUGCGAGUCGAGAGUCCUCGGGACUCGGCGUACCGCUCAGUAACACGUGGGUAACCUGCCCUAUGCUGGGGAAUAACCUCGGGAAACUGAGAAUAAUGCCCCAUAGCCCACUACGCCUGGAACGGUGAGUGGGUCAAAGCUCCGGCGGCAUAGGAUGGGCCUGCGCCGUAUCAGGUUGUAGGGGGUGUAAAGUACCCUCUAGCCAUCAACGCGUACGGGUGUUGGGAGACAUUGCCCGGAGAUGGAUUCUGAGACACGAAUCCAGACCCUACGGGGUGCAGCAGGCGCGAAAACUUGGCAAUGCGAGCAAAUCGUGACCAGGGAACUCCAAGUGCGUAGGGUAAGACCUACGCUUUUCUUGACUCUUCAAAGGUCUUUGGAAUAAGGGGUGGGUAAGGACGGUGCCAGCCGCCGCGGUAAUACCGGCGCCUCAAGUGGUAGUCGCUUUUAUUGGGCCUAAAACGUCCGUAGCCGGUCUGGUGCAUUCGUGGGUAAAUCAACCCGCUCAACGGGUUGAAUUCUGCGAGCACGGCCAGACUUGGGACCGGGAGAGGUGUGGGGUACUCUCAGGGUAGGGGUAAAAUCCUGUCAUCCUGAGAGGACCACCUGUUGCGAAGGCGCCACACUAGAACGGAUCCGACGGUCAGGGACGAAACCUAGGGGCACGAACCGGAUUAGAUACCCGGGUAGUCCUAGGUGUAAACGCUGUGGACUUGAUGUUGGGGGCGCUCCGAGCGCUCUCAGUGUCGAAGCGAAGGUGAUAAGUCCACUGCCUGGGGAGUACGGUCGCAAGGCUGAAACCUAAAGGAAUUGGCGGGGGAGCACUGCAACCUGAGGAUUGUGCGG